GCUGAACUGUGGCUGUUUAUAACGACAAACAAGUUGACAGCACCCUGAAAGAAAGGCACGGACUUUAAGGCGAUAGAAAAGCACUAGUGUGGAAACCCAUCUGCGUGCAAUGGCAGUAAGACCGGCAGAGUGCAAGGGCUUUCCAACACUAAGAGAAUAACAAGGAAAGUCAUGUCGAUCCCAGUGCAAUGUUAUAAUAACUUGGGGUGUAACGACCAUGUCAAAGGUUUACUGUUUAAGAUGCGCAAGCCAGACUUGAGGUGAGUUGCCAUUUUCUAAAGCUGCAAGAGCUUGUAUGAUCAUAGCCUUAUCGUGAGCACUGCGGGCCUUAAGGCGACAGAGAAACCACAAACAGAGGAACAUACCGAAGCAACACAUUGCACCAAAAAUGCCUACUCCCACCCACUCUUUGAAGAAGGAAAAGGCAGAGGAUAGCCAACUGGUGAAUUGACCCAAAGUCACUGGUUUGACACGGGUACUAUUCAAAACAGCAAUCUGAGUUAGUUGAGACUGGAUCAAGUUUUCUGCUUCCAUGGACCAGGUUCCGGAUAGAUACUCUCCGAUGAUGCGGGAGGCAUUUCUGGAAUCAUAAAAUCUGACAGAGGUUAUACAUAAAUGUGCACGUUGAUCAAUACAACCCAAAUGUACUGGGUCAGACAAUUCCUCAACUUGAGCUUGAAGCAGAUCUAUCCUUUGAUUAGCAGCUAGAAUCCCAGAUAAAAUGUGUUGAUUAAUUCUACUUUGAGAUUCAAGUAUGGUGGAUGUUUGUUGAAUAACCUGAUUAAUAGUAGCAGCAGUUUGUACUUGGCUGGUCAUGGCUACUCCAGCUGUAACUGCUGCAGCAGCAGACACUGCCACAGCUGUCACUAUAGCUGCCGUAAUUCCAAAAUCUCUACGGGCUCUAAUCAGUUCAACAAUAGGAAAUGACUCUGGGUCCGCAGUAACUGGGAUCGGGACAAAAGUUGGAAUUUUCAUAACCACCGCCGUAGUCCAGGAGCCAUUCCAACACUCAGACAAAUAACAGGUAAUAUUAGAACAAUUAAGCAUCCCCUGUAAUGUAACAUUAGCCAAAAGAAACAGGAACGGAGAUUGGAGACAGACUGCUGCGGAGGGUAAUGUAGCAUUAAACAAUUGUGAAUUGUGUGAAGUAAUUUUAAGUCUCCUACCUCACUCCGAGUCUUGGGUACUGCCAGAAACAUUAAACAGCCAACUUUGGACUCCUAAUAUUUCCCUGGGGAAACAGAAGCGCGGACUCCAAGUAGCUCAACAAUGGGGAGUUUAUCUGGGUCCGCUCUAGGGCCAGGAGAAGAGGACUUGAAGAUGCGGCACCCAUGACACAACAACAAAAGAAGCACAAAAAACAAAAGCGAAAUGACACAACAAAAG
rnacentral:lncRNA from 1 species